UACGAAGGGGGCUAGCGUUGCUCGGAAUCACUGGGCGUAAAGGGUGCGUAGGCGGGUCUUUAAGUCAGGGGUGAAAUCCUGGAGCUCAACUCCGGAACUGCCUUCGAUACUGGCGAUCUUCGAGUCCGGGAGAGGUGAGUGGAACUCCGAGUGUAGAGGUGAAAUUCGUAGAUAUUCGGAAGAACACCAGUGGCGAAGGCGGCUCACUGGCCCGGUACUGACGCUGAAAUACGAAAGCGUGGGGAGCAAACAGG
rnacentral:rRNA from 1 species